GUGAACUAUCCCUUCAAUAUUCAUGAGCCAAGCUGAUAAGUUUUAUAAUUGUGUCUGUCCAUUUUCAGACCUUUCUACAACCCUGAUCCUUACCAUGGUGUGGUCACAUUUACCGUUGCUCAGAGAAAAAAAAGCAGAACCAAAUGUGACAAAAUACCAUGAAUUACAUACAGGUUUAUAAUGUUGGUGUUGGCUGAAUAGUUGCCGCUCGUCCAUUGUGGAUCUUCUGUUUUGUUUUGUUGCUUAGUUACGAGUUUCUGCCCACACAGAGGUCACUGAUGAACAUCAACCAAGAGGCUUGUUAUUAGACAUUGCUGCAAAUUUGCAGAGGGAAAUGUUUCACCACCAGAAGUUUAUCUGGCGAAAUUGCAUUACACCAAUUCCCAUUGAACUGACUAGAUUUCACUUGUGAAAUUUUGCCAAGCAACAGUAAAUGUGACCACACUGUAAUGUUUACAACCAGAUGAAAUCAUGAAAAAA